rnacentral:rRNA from 2 species
UCUGCAAUAGGCGAAAGCCUGACAGGGUUACUCUGAGUGAUUUCCGUUAAGGAGAUCUUUUGGCAUCUCUAAAAAUGGUGCAGAAUAAGGGGUGGGCAAGUCUGGUGUCAGCCGCCGCGGUAAUACCAGCACCCCGAGUGGUCGGGACGUUUAUUGGGCCUAAAGCAUCCGUAGCCGGUUCUGCAAGUCUUCCGUUAAAUCCACCUGCUUAACAGAUGGGCCGCGGAAGAUACUAUAGAGCUAGGAGGCGGGAGAGGCAAGCGGUACUCGAUGGGUAGGGGUAAAAUCCGUUGAUCCAUUGAAGACCACCAGUGGCGAAGGCGGCUUGCCAGAACGCGCUCGACGGUGAGGGAUGAAAGCUGGGGGAGCAAACCGGAUUAGAUACCCGGGUAGUCCCAGCUGUAAACGAUGCAGACUCGGUGAUGAAUUGGCUUUAUGCCUAUUCAGUGCCGCAGGGAAGCCGUUAAGUUUGCCGCCUGGGGAGUACGGUCGCAAGACUGAAACUUAAA